rnacentral:rRNA from 1 species
UACGUAGGGUGCGAGCGUUAAUCGGAAUUACUGGGCGUAAAGCGUGCGCAGGCGGCUUUGCAAGACAGAUGUGAAAUCCCCGGGCUCAACCUGGAAACUGCAUUUGUGACUGCAUGGCUUGAGUGCGGCAGAGGGGGAUGGAAUUCCGCGUGUAGCAGUGAAAUGCGUAGAUAUGCGGAGGAACACCGAUGGCGAAGGCAAUCCCCUGGGCCUGCACCGACGCUCAUGCACGAAAGCGUGGGGAGCAAACAGG